GUUGUAGGUGAUAGUAGGGGCUGGGAUAAACUCCUGCGAAGGGAAAUACCAGUAAAUAGUUAUGUGAGAUAGUGGAAAGUUACAGAAGUAGAGUGAAUGUCUGUGGUGAGUCUUGACAAAAGGAUAAGGUGCCAGGAGGCAGACUGGGGGUUGUUGUUUUUUUCUGGAGGAAAUACAGAGAGCCUUAUUUGGGGAGGUAGAUAAUCGAUGGGCUUCUAGUGAGACAGCCCUGGGAGGUAUUUUCUGCCAGGAAGAACUCCAUAGAGCUGGGGAAGGGGUGAAGAAUUCUGUGGAGGAGAGAGCCCAGUAAGGGGCUAAGGUAAAGGGCCUAGGGGCAGAGUGAAGUAGGUAGAACUCCUGUAAAGAAUCUGAGGGAAGUUUAGCUGGUUGCUCGAGUCCCUGGAUUGGGGCCAAGAGUUAAGGAAGAGCUUGGUUUCACUUAGUGGCUACUGAGAGGUGGUAUGAGAGCACUCAGGUGUGAAGACCUGGCAUAAAGUCAUUGGACUACUGUUCUGUGGGGCUUUCUCUUACCCCAGAAAGGGUGAAACUGAAUGUGACCUGGCUGGAGAGCUGGAAUGAGAAGAAGCAGACUCCUGGACAAGAGAGUACUGGAGGAGGAAACUAUUGUGGUUUGCCCACCAACAAGGGGGUAUGCUAGCUGGAGCCUGCUUCAGAAAAUGGUUCUCCCUAUGGAUUUACUACUCUUUCAGAUAUACUGCUUGCUUGGAGAUGGAGUCAAGAUCAGAAAGCCUGUAAUUUCUGCCUUUCCUGUUCAUCAGAUCUCUUGAUGGUGGCAAGCCUAUAUGAUAUGCUAUUGCAAAGUAUAUAGUAGUCAGCUUUACGCUUUGGUCCACCAAAAACAAAGCUCACCCAAGACUCUCCAUAACUAUGCAGCAAUCUGUAAAUCAUGGUUUGUUUUUUGAAAUCUGAAUAUUUCUGGU